rnacentral:lncRNA from 1 species
CUUUCCAUGAGUGACUAUUUUUCUCUAGGUUGGGAUCGUUCUCUUUUCCAUUCAUUACUUCUUUUCUCUUGUAUAGCAUAUUUGCCUAGUUGUGCUUUUAUUGUUUUCAUAUUGUUUAUGCCUGCACCAUUCUGACAGCCCGAAGGAACGUCUCUGGGUGGAGAAUGAGGAAGUCUCUCUUCCCUGAGAUUUCAUCAGAAGUCCUGCUUUAGGGUACCCUUCUCCAGGGUUGAGAGUAUGGGUACUGCUCAGUAGGAGAUUCCCCUGGGAUCUUGACUGCUCCUGUAAUUCAGAGUAUUGUCUUAGAGACUUUGCUUCCAUCAGAUGGAUUCUGCCGAUGCUUCAGGUUCCCUGGUUCACCCGCUUCUCUGAGCAUCAGUCUCCGUUGUUUUGUUGUGAGACAGAAGAAGGAGAAGGAGGAGGAAGAGAAGGAUGAGGAGGAAAGGAGGAGGAAGAGGAGCAGAAGGAGGAAGGGGAGGGGCAGAACAACCAUCACCAUGGCCAUCCCCCGCCAGAGCACCCACCCCACUUGCUUUCUUCUCCUCUUGGUGUCUGUGAGAAAGCCCAGGAUUUUGUCACCUCCCAGCCCAGUCUCUGGGACGAGGAGCCUCGGUGGCAUGGAACUUCCACAGGGACAGUUCAGUCGGCUGCCUCACUGGGGACUUCCAUCCUGGCAGUGCCUGGGCUCCUCAGGAAGACAGUGGUCAGUUGAGUCCUUGCCAAGCCAGGCUGGCUUCGAGGAGGAGUGAUUGAGGCGAUUGUUUUCAGUGGCUUUGCGACAAGAUCCCACAUUCAGCCUGAUAAUGCAGACUCUUUCAAGCCAUCUUCCUGGCCCCACGGACAGCCCUGUGGACUUUAAGCUCCAGUGCCAGAUGGAAAGACAACAGCCUUGGGAGACUGCUUAACAAGCUCCCCAAAGGGUCAGAGCCUGGAAACAAUGUUCCUUCAAUCCUUUGCCAGCAGGGAUCUUCUUUAGUUUCUGCCAAUAAGGGCCACUGGUGUAAAAUUUGGAAACCAGACAAAGAGAAGCUGACUUUUGGCAAUGGCGUGAGACAUGGGCAUCAAUAAAGGCUGGGUGAGCUCUGCCAGUGGCUUUCAGGCGUGAGUCAUCUGUUCACACAGUUGAGAUCUGCAGUGGCUGUCCCUGCAGUCUCCACUUCCUGGAUUCCUGAAUGCUUCCGAAGCUUCCCUGACCUUGACUCUCUCCCCAACAGCUUCGUAAGCCUGUAAUCUCCUGCAUUAAUCUCCUCUCCAUUGAAGGACCUGGAGGGUUUCCAUUUUCCCAGGCAAACCCUGUCUGAGACGUAUCCCCACUAGCACUGCAUAAGAGCUCCCAGGGCCCCACCUCCUCACCACACAGUGCUUGUCAACCCUUCGGUCAGUUGCGGAAGUGAACAAUAGUAUCUCGUUGUAGUUUUAGUUUCAGAAUUGUGCGUGUAGAAUUGAUGUUUUGUUUGUAUGUUUAACAGCCAUUUGUAUUUUCUUUUUUAUAAACCAGGUUCGUAUCCUUUGAUUAUUUUUCUGUUGUGUUAUUGAUGGGUGUUGUCACCUACAUGGAUCAUACCUGUUAGCACACUUAAAAAUUUUUUUAAAAAAUAUCUUUUUAAAAAAUUAAUAAGAAAUAGCACUGUAUGACAUAAAUGGCAAAACUUUUCUCUGGUUUUCAGUUUGUCUUUUGACUUACUUUAUAUGUACUUCUUGACAUGAAGAUUAAAACAUUUUCAUGUAAUCCAACGUUUUUUCUUUUAUGGAUUUCUUUUUUUUUUGGAGACAGAGUCUCACCCUGUGGCCCAGGCUGGAGUGCAGUGGUAUGAUCUCGGCUCACUGCAACCUCUACUUCCCAGGUUCAAGCGAUUCUCA